GGAGGGGGCAAGCGUUAUUCGGAAUUAUUGGGCGUAAAGGGCAGGUAGGCGGCUUUAUAUGUCCCCUGUGAAAGCCCUCGGCUCAACCGAGGAAUUGCAUGGGAAACUGUAGAGCUUGAGUCCGGGAGAGGCUAGUGGAAUUCCCAGUGUAGCGGUGAAAUGCGUAGAUAUUGGGAGGAACACCGGUGGCGAAGGCGGCUGGCUGGACCGGUACUGACGCUGAACUGCGAAAGCUAGGGGAGCGAACGGGAUUAGAUACCCCGGUAGUCCUAGCUGUAAACGCUGAGCACUUGGUGUGGCGGGUAUCGACCCCUGCCGUGCCCGAAGCUAACGCAUUAAGUGCUCCGCCUGGGGAGUACGGUCGCAAGGCUG
rnacentral:rRNA from 1 species